UACGGAGGAUCCAAGCGUUAUCCGGAUUUAUUGGGUUUAAAGGGUGCGUAGGCGGUUUGAUAAGUUAGAGGUGAAAUACCGGUGCUUAACACCGGAACUGCCUCUAAUACUGUUGAACUAGAGAGUAGUUGCGGUAGGCGGAAUGUAUGGUGUAGCGGUGAAAUGCUUAGAGAUCAUACAGAACACCGAUUGCGAAGGCAGCUUACCAAACUAUAUCUGACGUUGAGGCACGAAAGCGUGGGGAGCAAACAGG
rnacentral:rRNA from 1 species